rnacentral:misc_RNA from 1 species
AAAAUAUAGCAAGCCGAGCUUUUGUUAGCGAGGUUUUGCGAUCAAAUUGUAUUUAAAACCAAACUCUUUGAAUCAAAUAUAUUUUAUCAAUUAAUAAAAAUAAAGA